CUUCUUCCACUUAGCACCGUGC
rnacentral:misc_RNA from 1 species